GCCUAAAGCGUCCGUAGCCUGCUCUGUAAGUUUUCGGUUAAAUCUGUAUGCUCAACAUACAGGCCGCCGGGAAUACUGCAGAGCUAGGGAGUGGGAGAGGUAGACGGUACUCGGGAGGAAGUGGUAAAAUGCUUUGAUCUCUCGAUGACCACCUGUGGCGAAGGCGGUCUACCAGAACACGUCCGACGGUGAGGGAUGAAAGUUGGGGGAGCAAACCGGAUUAGAUACCCGGGUAGUCCCAACCGUAAACUAUGCAAACUCAGUGAUGCAUUGGCUUGUGGCCAAUGCAGUGUUGCAGGGAAGCCGUUAAGUUUGCCGCCUGGGAAGUACGUACGCAAGUAUGAAACUUAAAGGAAUUGGCGGGGGAGCACCACAAGGGGUGAAGCCUGCGGUUCAAUUGGAGUCAACGCCAGAAAUCUUACCCGGAGAGACAGCAGAAUGAAGGUCAAGCUGAAGACUUUACCAGACAAGCUGAGAGGUGGUGCAUGGCCGUCGCCAGCUCGUGCCGUGAGAUGUCCUGUUAAGUCAGGUAACGAGCGAGAUCCCUGCCUCUAGUUGCCACCAUUACUCUCAGGAGUAGUGGGGCGAAUUAGCGGGACCGCCGCAGUUAAUGCGGAGGAAGGAAGGGGCCACGACAGGUCAGUAUGCCCCGAA
rnacentral:rRNA from 1 species